AUUGAACGCUGGCGGCAGGCUUAACACAUGCAAGUCGAGCGAGCGGCGGACGGGUGAGUAAUGUCUGGGAAACUGCCUGAUGGAGGGGGAUAACUACUGGAAACGGUAGCUAAUACCGCAUACCAUCAGAUGUGCCCAGAUGGGAUUAGCUAGUAGGUGGGGUAAUGGCGCACCUAGGCGCCGAUCCCUAGCUGGUCUGAGAGGAUGACCAGCAACAGUGGAACUGAGACACGGGCCAGACUCCGAGGGGAGGCAGCGGUGGGGAAUAUUGCACAAUGGGCGAAAGCCUGAAGCAGCCAUGCCGCGUGUGUGAAGAAGGCCUUCGGGUUGUAAAGCACUUUCAGCGAGGAGGCGUUACUCGCAGAAGAAGCACCGGCUAACUCCGAGCCAGCAGCCGCGUAAUUC
rnacentral:rRNA from 1 species